CAUUGAGUCACCAUCGACGGCAGUUUCAAAUGCCAAAUCCCACCUGGACUCUGUAAUUAAGUACAAAAAACCAAACUCCGAACAACUUCUUCUUCCACGUGGCGCCUCUCUUCCCAUGCACCUCACUCACCAAACUAAACGCAUGCCUUUCCCUUUUCUUGCUGACUCACUGCACCACCACUUCGGCCCACCGUACACGUCACAUGCUCCGCCACCAACGUCAGCAUUGGCACCCACCUGGAACAAGCAACACCGAAGACUAUUCUGGACCUGAUGGAUUUAGAUGGACUCAAUCUUUACCAUGUUAAGAGUCAUUUACAAAAAUUUAGACUGGGAAAAUUUUGGGUGAAGGAUUGGCAGGACACAUCCAAAAAUGUUUCUCAACAUCAAGGAGGCGCGCGGAGCCUCAGACCUUUGAACUCACCAUCUCAGAACAAGGAGCCUAACAGG